UUGAUGUAUCUGUUUUAAUAUUCCUCUGGUCAUAGAGCUUUUCAGAUGGAUGCUGAGGUUUUUUAGGUCAGGUAGAAUCUGCGAUCUCUGAUCCAGUUCGUUUGCUGGCUUCCUUGGCGGUAAUACGCUGUGUUUUCCACCAACUGGCAACCCGGGGUCUCAAAAUCCUAUUGGUUUAAUUGGCAGUGGGCGGAGUCACACAGACCAAAACAAAACCCAACAUUCUGACACGGAACACACAUUUCAAAGCAAAGUAAAUGGCAUUGUUUUUCAGAGAAAGUUAACGUGUUUUCUAAAUAUCUGCAGGUAUUUUAUGCUUCAGUGCAGCCAAAAUAUUACAUACAUACAGCGCCUUUAAGGCAGUAAGAUCAUAAGCUUUACUGGGAACACAAAAGGCACAGAAUACCUGCAAUGACCUGCAAAUACUUCUUGUAUAUUGUUGCGUACUCUUCUACACCAAUUUUGAUAUUAAUUUUCACUGAAUUUUGCCUUUGCAGGGCAGCAAACCUGAACAACAUUAAAUAGCAAUAUUCUGUAGUACUGUAAUGUUUUUGACAGUAUCUACCUGUAUCUAAAGCAAGAACCCUUGCUGUAAAGGAGUGAUUUUUGCUUGCCCUUCGGUUCCUCAGAAAGACGGAAGAAAGCAUGGUAUUCCACACACAUCUUCCAGAAGGCCUUGCAGACGUCACGACUGGCCAUAGCAAACUCGACCGUGUCCUUACGAGACUCCUGAACAGACACAAUGAUGCAAAACCAGAUUUUCAGAUGACACAGUCGCUACCUGAAAAACCAGCACUCCAGAGUGAGUGACGGCUAAAUUGAUUCUCAUGUCUUCUCCAUCGCUGGCGGCGUGAGGCCGGAUGCCGUACAUGUCCAGCUUACGGGCCACUUCAAGCAACUGACCAUCCGCUUCAGCUGGGGAUUGACCUCUACAGCACAGAGAAAACACAUCCGGGUGUUGUUUUUAAGUCUGCAUCUGUGACAAAUGAUCCAUGAUCCUUCAGAAACCAUCAAAAACAUUUCAUCUUAUUGUCAGUGUUGACAUCUGUGCUUGCUGCUUAAAGGAACCACUCCUCACUAUCAACAGCUGCUUAUUAGCAUGCAUAUUACCAACAUAUAGGCUGUUUAUUGAUAUUUAUCAAGCACAUAUUAAUGCUUUAAUCUACAUGAGCAUAUUUUAGAUCUCUUAAUCCAAC
ensembl:lncRNA